AGACAUGGAGAACUGAAGACAUGGUUUAGACUCUGCCUGCAACUGAUUCCCUGGGCUGGGUUACUGGUGAGUGAGAGAGGUAUCACCUGGGUUACAAACUCUGUUCCAUCAUGGGCUUCAUCCAUUGCUACCAUGGUGAGGUUCCCUCCAGCUUUGUCAUGAGUGGAGGAAUAGAAGAUACUGGAGUGUUAGGGGACUUGCGUGAAAGGUGUGCGAGCUAGGCCAUACUCUCUUUGGGGAUGC
rnacentral:lncRNA from 1 species